AAAAAUAUAAAGGUCUUUGUGAGAAUUUUACCACUUGAAAAACAAUGCAAAUCAUGUGCACAAAUUGAUACUGAACAUAAGAUGGAAUUUUUUAUAACGCAUCUCAAGAAGAAGUUUAUAAAGCAACAACAACAAAUCUUAUAGAAAAGUACUAAGUACAUGCUUAAAAUGCAAUAGUAAAUUAAUCAACAUUUAAAGUAAUAUAAUUUAAGGGUUUUAGAUGGCGUAAACUGUAUAAUAUAUAGUUACGGUCAAAUUGGUUCAGGAAAAAGUUUUACAAUUGGCGGUUUAAGAAAUAACUGGGAAAGGAUUGGUUAUGCGGCUUCUGUCUGAUAUGUUUACAGAAAAAGCAAAGCGAAGGAAAGUUAAUAAGAUACAAUAUCGUUUAAGUUUUGUUGAAUUACGUGGUAAAGAAGUAAAAGAUCUUUUACUAGCUAAAACAGAAAACAAAAUUAAAGUAAAUGAUACUGAUGCAUUUAAGAAUGUAACAAUAAUAAAUGUGAACAAUCAAGAGACAGCAUUGAAGAAACUUUUUGAAGGAGAGACUAGAAGAUCUAUAGUUACGGGUUCUUUCUAUCCAGCUUCCCAUUUAGGAACUGCAGUAAUAACUCUUCAUGUUUCGAAUACGAGUUUAAUUACCUCGUGGGCCGUUGUGGCGAAAGCCAAAAUACAUAUUGUAGAAAUGGCAGGUACAGGAACUGUAGGAAAACGAAAUUGCAUGAAAUCACCAGCAGACGUAGGUGCAGCGAAUUUAGGUCAAACUCAAGUUGAAACAUUUUUCUUAUAUUUGAGAGGCUUUGAAAUAUCUACUAAGUGUAUAUUACGUUCUAAUAAUCUUUUCAAGUUUUUGGGUCAAGCUCUUUCUGUAACGUCGAUGCUUCGAUUUAUCGCACACGUAUGCAUUACAAAAGAAGAUUUAGAUUCGACAUUGACCACUUUACGAUUUGCUUCUACAGUUUCGAAAUUACGUCCGGUUAAAAUGAAAUAUAAUGUUAGACCACACACUGAAACAAUCAUAUCGGAACUCAAGAAAGAAAUCGAAAUGUUGAAACGAGAAUUGGAAUUAAAUGAAAUGUUUUCAAAUCAAGAAUCAACAAUAAAUAUAUCGAAAUUAAGAUACGAACAAAUGCAUCGUGACGUAAUGCACUUUUUAAAUGGUACAUUAUCCGAUAUGACGUUAUACAGCGUUUCGCAGAUGGAAAUUUUAUUAACAAUUAUUAAAAAUUUAUAUCAGAAAUUGACUUUGAAACAGGCCGAAGUUGAUACGUUAAUUGAAACUUACGAAAACGCUUUGAAAAAUAUAAAUGAAAUAACUUUUUCAAUAAAUUUAUCGGAAGCCAACAAUAAGACCAUUUUAUCACUCAAGAAUAAUUCGAUUGAAAAUGAAACUCUAAAUGUUAGAUCAACUAUUUCUCAAACAAGUAAGGAUAUUAUUAAAAAUUCGAAAACAGAGCAAGUGGGUGUAUUAAAAAAAACAGGUAUCACAUUAGGAAAUUUUAACAAAGAAGCAUUUGAAAAAAUGAUAAAAAUAUAUAAACACGAACAAAAUUCGCUAAACUUCGACGCAACGGAAGUUCAUAAACAAUUUAAAGAUAAUAAUAAACUUUCGGUUUGUACUGACGAAGGAGAGAAAGCUGUGGAAGAUUUGAAAGUUAAAUUCUAUCAAUUACAAAAUAUGAUGAUACGUAGCAUCGAGGUAAAAAUACCAAACAUCAACCGAAAAUAUCAACGAUCUCUCGAAAAAUGUUCUGUAAAUGAACAACAUUCAAUUAUACUAAGUAAUUUAAUAAGAUAAUUUAACGGAUAAUAGAUGAUACGAAUAAUAUAAUUUCCAACGGAGUUCCGUCAACGCGUCGAAAUCUAGAUCAGCACCCUACCUGUCCAAUGCAGAAGGUUCAGAGUAUUGAUUACUCUCUAGGAGGAAGCUACGUUGGGGAGGUGAAUGAAAUAUGGACAAUCGUCAAAUGAAGUUAAAGACAUAAAUAGUUAUGCAAGUGGUACGGAGUCCAUGCGAAAUGACUUGACGGUGUAUUCUUGGUUGCCUUGCUGGCGGUAAAGACUUUAGCUUGGAGCCACGCCUGGUAUCCCCCAUAGAAGCAGUUUCAUAAGCCACGCCUACAAUGUGAACCUCUCUCCAACUCUUCUCUACUACCGCCCACUAACCCGGAGGCAGUAACGAGAGAGGGAGAGGAAGAGGGAAAAGAAAAAAGAGAGAAUGAGAGAAAGAGGGAGAGAGAGAGAGAGAAAGAGAGAGAGAGAGAGAGAGAAAGCCUAAGGGCUAAUAAUUCAUGUCACGAGCACACCCCACCAUAAAGAGUCAACUACAGGCACCUCGAGCGUAUUCCAUAUCAGCGACCACUCUGCCGCAUAACGUUAUUCAGUUGCAGUUACUGUUAAUUACCGAUCACCUUUUAUAAUUUAUUGCUACACCUCGGACAGAGCUCGCUGUAAUGACGCCAGAAACGUUGGAAAAUUCCCAGUUACCGUUAUCGAACGACUGAUCACCGACAAUUAUGUAACACCAAAAGGAUUGAUUCAACUUUGUAUUGUAUUAGCACACAGAAUGUUCUAGCCGUUCUUAUUGAAUCGUUCAAUGUUCUUUAUAUAAAGGUUCUUCUCCUUGUUCUCAUCUAA
rnacentral:misc_RNA from 1 species